rnacentral:misc_RNA from 1 species
AAGUCGUAACAAGGUAACCGUAGGUGAACCUGCGGUUGGAUCAUUAAAAAAUACCGAUCAGGGAUGCUCUUGCAUCCUGGGGAAUGCUUCGGCGUUCGAUCACCCACCUUUUGUGCACCGUAAUUGUCUCUGGCGGCUGGACGGAGGAUGCCCUUCGGGGUGUGCUGCCGUUUGUCAGCUCGAGCAACCGAGCCGUGGACAACCCGCCAACCACUACCCACUCAUUUUUUCUUCAGAUGCUGUCUGACAUUGUCAUUUUGUACGUGAAAAAAUGUAUGAAAAACAACUUUUGGCAACGGAUCUCUUGGCUCUC